AACCAACAUUUGUUCAAGUAAGAUGCCAAUGAACCAGCCAUCAUCAGCACCAAGCUAGAAUUUUCAGUUUCCACUGAAGAGUAUUAAUGUAUAUCAGCUCAAGGAAUCGAGAUCUGAGGAAAAUGAUACCUAUUUGAUGUCCCUGACCUUCAAGAUGCUUCAAAUAUACCAGAACCCGGAACUACCACAUAAGAAGUAUGGUCACCUUGCUAGAGUCAUCAAAAAAAGAGGCCAAAUGAAGAGUCCAAGAUCCUAGAGCCCUAGGGUCCCUGAACACAGCUGUCUAAGCCAAGGUGCCAGAUACAGUUCAGUCAAUUUACAUAAUACCAGUCCCAGCUGCUGUCUGACUUCAGAGAGCCCAAGAAAAGCCAGGAGAAGAACCAUCCAAACGACAGAAUUGCGAGAAACAAUUAAAAGGAAAAUAUCCUGGCUCCCAGCGCAGUGUGAUUCAAUGAACAGAGUGGGGUUGCAGGGGAGGAGGUCGGUGGGGGAUGGAAGAUGCCAGGAGACAGAGCAGUGGUCCCCACCCACCCCUGCAGCUGCAGGCCCCACGGAGGGAAGGGGUUCAGCCCCCCACAGGAGGGUGAGUGGGCCUCGGAGGAGAUCUGGUAAGUG
rnacentral:lncRNA from 12 species